UACGUAGGGUGCAAGCGUUGUCCGGAACUAUUGGGAGUAAAGAGCUUGUAGGCGGUUUGUCGCGUCUGCUGUGAAAUUUCGGGGCUCAACCCCGAACCUGCAGUGGGUACGGGCAGACUAGAGUGUGGUAGGGGAGACUGGAAUUCCUGGUGUAGCGGUGAAAUGCGCAGAUAUCAGGAGGAACACCGAUGGCGAAGGCAGGUCUCUGGGCCGAUACUGACGCUGAGGAGCGAAAGCGUGGGGAGCGAACAGG
rnacentral:rRNA from 1 species